UUUAACGGCCGCGGUAUUAUAACCGUGCAAAGGUAGCGUAAUCAUUUGUCUUUUAAAUGAAGACCUGUAUGAAUGGCACCACGAGGGUUUAACUGUCUCCUCCCCCCAGUCAAUGAAAUUGAUCUGCCCGUGCAGAAGCGGGCAUAACAACAUAAGACGAGAAGACCCUAUGGAGCUUUAGGCUAACGACCCAAGCAUGUAAAAGUUUCACAAGAAAAGAAACUUAACCCAAUGCCCAAUGGUUCACGCCUUCGGUUGGGGCGACCACGGGGAAAAGAAAAGCCCCCGAAUGGAAUGAAGAUAUACUCCAAACCAAGAGGUACACCUCUAAGUAACAGAAAUCUGACCAAAUUGACCCGGGAUAACCGAUCAAUGAACCAAGUUACCCUAGGGAUAACAGCGCAAUCCUUUCCCAGAGUUCCUAUCGACGAAAGGGUUUACGACCUCGAUGUUGGAUCAGGACAUCCUAAUGGUGAAGCCGCUAUUAAGGGCUCGUUUGUUCAACGAUUAAAGUCCU
rnacentral:rRNA from 1 species